rnacentral:hammerhead_ribozyme from 1 species
AUCCAGCUGAUGAGUCCGAGAUAGGAAGAAACGCGCGUCUUGCAU